CGACCCAUUUGGACGAUCUUCUGACUCCGCAGCUGGUUGAAGCCCAUUAUAACAUCACACUUCAGCACACCCCGAACACGGUUAACUUGCACACGGUCGAAGGUGCUGCCAACAUCGAAGAAAAACAGGACGGAGAGUUCCCGAAGAUUUCCUCUAUAUCGAGAAGCCAAAUGAAACUCAUGUUGAAAAACAAGCACAACGAUCCUGCCACGGACCACUCACUGCACGAGAUGCAUCAGGAUUCUAUCAGCGUCAAACCGAAACCGGAGGAAAAAGUUCCAUUGUCACAAGUUGAUGCGGACAUUCGGAAGUAUAUCACGUGCGUCCAUUUCUACACCAACAAAU